rnacentral:rRNA from 1 species
GAUGAACGCUGGCGGCGUGCCUAAUACAUGCAAGUCGAGCGAACGGACGAGAAGCUUUCUUCUCUGAUGUUAGCGGCGGACGGGUGAGUAACACGUGGAUAACCUACCUAUAAGACUGGGAUAACUUCGGGAAACCGGAGCUAAUACCGGAUGAUAUUUUGAACCGCAUGGUUCAAAAGUGAAAGACGGUCUUGCUGUCACUUAUAGAUGGUUCCGCGCUGCAUUAGCUAGUUGGUAAGGUAACGGCUUACCAAGGCAACGAUGCAUAGCCGACCUGAGAGGGUGAUCGGCCACACUGGAACUGAGACACGGUCCAGACUCCUACGGGAGGCAGCAGUAGGGAAUCUUCCGCAAUGGGCGAAAGCCUGACGGAGCAACGCCGCGUGAGUGAUGAAGGUCUUCGGAUCGUAAAACUCUGUUAUUAGGGAAGAACAUAUGUGUAAGUAACUGUGCACAUCUUGACGGUACCUAAUCAGAAAGCCACGGCUAACUACGUG